UUUUACACUGAAACACCUACCCCCCCCCCCCCCUUUUUUUUUUGCUUCUAAUCCUGAAAUUACAUGCAAAUAUUGACCUUCUUGUGAAUAUCCUCAAGGAUAACUUAUGAUUUGCUUCAACUGUGCUAUAAAUUUUAACUUUGGAAAAGCAACUUACCUACAGUAUUCAAAGCCCGAAAAACAACUGCAUUUCACUGGAGAGAUUUUUCAGCUACAUCCCCAAGAUCCUACAUGCAGAUGUAUUCCAAACCAGACAGUCUCACUCCCAUCAUGCUUCCUCCACAACUAAAACUCAGACUUACUCUGGUCUCUCCAGUGAUCUCCAGAUCAUACCUGUGGUCUAAUCAGUGCAAGAAAGAAGAGAUGACAAGUAGAUGAGGAACAAAGGAUAAACGAUUGGGAUGAUGUAGGAGACAACAGACUGGCAG